rnacentral:lncRNA from 1 species
CUUGCCAGUAAAAUUAAUAUAACAAUUACAAAUGAUAUUACUGAAAAAUGAUAACAGUAAAAUGGUAAUAUGAUUAUAUAUUAAUGUUACGUAAUGUUCUACUGUUUCUAUUUCUAUUAAAAUGGAAAACAUUCUGCCUGGUCCAGAAGAAUUUCCUCUUAUUGUGCUCGUUAUUGUGCUGCCUCGUAUAAGUGCUUAUUAUUUUCUUCGGCGGAGUUUCUGAUGACGAUAUUAAGCAACACUGAGCACAACGAAAAAAGUCGUGUGUAUGACGUGUUUCAUCCUUGGUUAAAUACAGGUCUCUUCACUAGCACAGCGAUUAAGUGGAAGUCGCGGCGAAGGAUGUUAACACCUGCAUUCCAUUUCAAUAUAUUGAAUAAAUUUGUUGAUAUCUUGAUCAAGGAGGGCGAUUGCUAUGUUGGAUCUUUUAAUAGCGGCAUCUCGAGAAAAUUCUCUAACUGAUUUGGAUAUCAGAGAAGAAGUCAACACUUUUAUAUUCGGAGGUCAUGAUACUACAGGGGCGAGUUUAAUGUUUAUUUUACUACUCCUAGCUGAACACAAAGAUAUCCAGGAGCGUGUAAGAGCUGAAGUCGAUACUGUGAUGCAAGAGAACGGAGGAAAACUUAACAUGAGAUUAUUACAAAAUUUAUCAUAUUUAGACAGAUGUUUAAAGGAAGCGAUACGAUUAUAUCGCUUCUUUUAAACAUCUGUCUAAAUAUGAUAAAUUUAUGAGCGUGAAUUUUAUAUUACGCAAGACUGGGAAUGUUGUAAAAUUACAAUCAUAUAUCGUACCCGUUGGAACGUCCAUACUUCUUAAUAUUUACGGAGUUCACAGAGAUCCUAAUUUUUGGCCAAAUCCAGAAGUGUAUGAUCCGGACAGAUUCUUACUCGAAAAGAGAAAGAAUCAUCAUCCUUAUUCUUAUAUACCAUUCAGUGCAGGAUCAAGAAAUUGCAUAGGUCAACGUCUCAGUUUGCUCAGGACGUAUUAUUAUAUCAAAUAAUAAAGGAAUAUUUUUUAAAUACUCAACAGGUUCCAAGUAUUAUGUAUUAAAGGGGCUAUCAUAGCUUUCAUCAUCAAGCUGAUGGUAAAAGCUAUGAUAGCCCCUUUGAUACAUAAUUUUAAGUUGGAACCUACUGAGUAUUUAAAAAAUAACGAGGAUAUUGCAAGAGUGUAACAAGAUGAUACAGUGGAUAAAAUCGAAAAAAAUUGUUAUGUAUAUUAUAUGUUCAACAUUAUGAGGAAAUAUUAUGUAUGUAAACAUUACAUUUAAUUAUGAAAAUAUUCACAAAGAAAAUCUUAGAAAUCAGAACUCUAUAUAUCCUAUA